rnacentral:rRNA from 1 species
UGCCAGCAGCCGCGGUAAUACGAAGGGGGCGAGCGUUGUUCGGAGUUACUGGGCGUAAAGGGCGCGUAGGCGGCCUAAUUAGUCAGAUGUGAAAGCCCCGGGCUCAACCUGGGAACUGCAUUUGAUACUGUUAGGCUAGAGAUCGAGAGGGGAAAGUGGAAUUGCGAGUGUAGAGGUGAAAUUCGUAGAUAUUCGCAAGAACACCAGUGGCGAAGGCGGCUUUCUGGCUCGAUACUGACGCUGAGGCGCGAGAGCGUGGGUAGCAAACAGGAUUAGAUA